rnacentral:rRNA from 1 species
UAACAAGGUCUCCGUAGGUGAACCUGCGGAGGGAUCAUUACACAAUAACAAGGCGGGUUGGACACCCCCCGCUGGGCACUGCUUCACGGCGUGCGCGGCGGGGCCGGCCCUGCUGAAUUAUUCACCCGUGUCUUUUGCGUACUUCUUGUUUCCUGGGUGGGCUCGCCCGCCCUCAGGACCAACCACAAACCUUUUGCAAUAGCAAUCAGCGUCAGUAACAACGUAAUUAAUUACAACUUUCAACAACGGAUCUCUUGGUUCUGGCAUCGAUGAAGAACGCAGCGAAAUGCGAUACGUAGUGUGAAUUGCAGAAUUCAGUGAAUCAUCGAAUCUUUGAACGCACAUUGCGCCCUUUGGUAUUCCAAAGGGCAUGCCUGUUCGAGCGUCAUUUGUACCCUCAAGCUUUGCUUGGUGUUGGGCGUCUUUUGUCUCCAGUUCGCUGGAGACUCGCCUUAAAGUCAUUGGCAGCCGGCCUACUGGUUUCGGAGCGCAGCACAAGUCGCGCUCUUCGCCAGCCAAGGUCAGCGUCCAGCAA